GACGAACGCUGGCGGCGUGCUUAACACAUGCAAGUCGAACGGAGUGGCGAACGGGUGAGUAACACGUGGGUGACCUGCCCUGCACUUCGGGAUAAGCCUGGCAAACUGGGUCUAAUACCGGAUAGUGUGGGAUGGGCCCGCGGCCUAUCAGCUGGUUGGUGGGGUAAUGGCCUACGAAGGCGGCGACGGGUAGCCGGCCUGCGAGGGUGGACGGGCACAGUGGGACUGAGAGACGGACCAGACUGGUACGGGAGGCAGCAGGGGGGAGUAUUGCACAAUAGGCGGAAGCGUGAUGCGGCGGCGCCGGGUGGGGAAUGACGGCCUUCGGGUUGUAAACACCUUUCACCAUAGACGCGGUAGAUGGAGAAGAAGCACCGGCUAACUACGUGCCAGCAGCCGCGGUAAUAC
rnacentral:rRNA from 1 species